AGAUUGAACGCUAGCGGCAUGCCUAACACAUGCAAGUCGAACGGUAACAGGCCCUUCGGGGUGCUGACGAGUGGCGGACGGGUGAGUAAUGCGUAGGAAUCUACCCACGAGUGGGGGAGUAGCCCGGAGAAAUCCGGAUUAAUACCGCAUAUGCCCUACCGGGGUAAAGACGGGGACCGGAAAGGACCUCGCGCUGAAGGAGCGGCCGAUGUCCGAUUAGCUAGUUGGUGGGUACGG
rnacentral:rRNA from 1 species